UACGUAGGGGGCAAGCGUUGUCCGGAUUUAUUGGGCGUAAAGAGCGUGUAGGCGGCCAGACAGGUCCGUUGUGAAAACUCGAGGCUCAACCUCGAGACGCCGAUGGAAACCGUCUGGCUAGAGUCCGGAAGAGGAGAGUGGAAUUCCUGGUGUAGCGGUGAAAUGCGCAGAUAUCAGGAAGAACACCCGUGGCUAAGGCGGCUCUCGUAGUACAGGUACUGACGCUGAGACGACGAAAGCGUGGGGAGCGAACAGG
rnacentral:rRNA from 1 species